GUGGGGAAUCUUGCGCAAUGGGCGAAAGCCUGACGCAGCCAUGCCGCGUGAAUGAUGAAGGUCUUAGGAUUGUAAAAUUCUUUCACCGGGGACGAUAAUGACGGUACCCGGAGAAGAAGCCCCGGCUAACUUCGUGCCAGCAGCCGCGGUAAUACGAAGGGGGCUAGCGUUGCUCGGAAUUACUGGGCGUAAAGGGCGCGUAGGCGGACAGUUUAGUCAGAGGUGAAAGCCCAGGGCUCAACCUUGGAAUUGCCUUUGAUACUGGCUGGCUUGAGUACGGGAGAGGUGAGUGGAACUCCGAGUGUAGAGGUGAAAUUCGUAGAUAUUCGGAAGAACACCAGUGGCGAAGGCGACUCACUGGCCCGUUACUGACGCUGAGGCGCGAAAGCGUGGGGAGCAAACAGGAUUAGAAACCCUUGUAGUCC
rnacentral:rRNA from 1 species